UUCAGUUCCAGCAGGACAUCAGAAGUCUUCCUUUCCUGUGGUCAAGUGAUUCUUGCAGGAAUAAGAUAGAAGCCUUAAGGAGGUCCUAGAAGCCAAAGGAGAUAAUCAAGAGAAGACUGAGAGUGAAGUGGAAUGCUGAAAAAAAUAGGAAACACAUUUGCAGGCCAAGCACCACAGGCAUAUCCUAUGACAACACUGGAAGUAUUGCUGACAUCAGAAUCCCUGGGUCUUAACCCCACCUCCUCCACUGACGGGCCCUGGACUUUGUGCAAGCUAUGUAACUUCCAAAAUUUUACCUCUGAAAACUG